rnacentral:rRNA from 1 species
UAUCCCUACGGGAGGCAGCAGUGGGGAAUAUUGCACAAUGGGGGAAACCCUGAUGCAGCGACGCCGCGUGAGUGAAGAAGUAAUUCGUUAUGUAAACCUCUAUCAGCAGGGAAGAAAAUGACGGUACCUGAGUAAGAAGCCCCGGCUAACUACGUGCCAGCAGCCGCGGCAAUACGUAGGGGGCAAGCGUUAUCCGGAUUUACUGGGUGUAAAGGGGGCGUAGACGGCGAUGCAAGCCAGGAGUGAACGCC